CAUGGCGGCGCCCAUGGUCUCAGCUCGGUAUGCCACAUCGGCCGUCAAAACACCUGCUGUUCCAUGUCCACUGAGAGCCAAGAAAGCACUCAAAUUAUAAGGUACUCUGCACUCAUCUUUCGUUGAGCAAGAAAUGAAUGCUACGUGUAGAAGUUAACCACUGGAGCUUGCCUCAGACUCAAGGUACUCUGCACUCAUCUUUCGUUAAGCAAGAAAUGAAAGCUACGUGUAGAAAUUAACCAGCAGAGCUUCCCUCGGACACAAGGUAAGUCAAAUAAUGUUACCGUAACAAUAUUUUGUUUUCUUUGUACAUUCUGAUCAUGUGAUAAACUCACGGGUGGAUUUCACAAGGAGUUGAGACUACUCUUAUCUCGAGUUAGGACAAGUUAGGACUAGCCUUAGGUUCUUAAUAACCCCUAACCCCUAAAGAGUCCUAGGACUAGUCCUAAGUUAGGACUAUCUUUGUGAAAUUGACCUCUGGCCAUAUCCUGACACAGCCCUUCAAAUCAACAGGAGAAUUUUGACAGUUUUGAAGGAUUGGGGAACAUUUGAAAUUUGUUCUAUUGGAGGCGCUGGCUGGGAUUGAAUUCCUAUUAUCAGUCGAUUUUGAAGCAUCGAAGCAAAAUAGAUCCCAGUAGAGAAAGGGUCUCGAUUUAUUUGUACUUUGUGGUUUACGAUAACCACUACCUUUCUAACAAUCUACAGUAAAACAAUUAACAAAUACAAAUCUACAUGUUUGACUUAAUUUUAAUUAUUGAAGUUCUACAUACAAGCAUUACUGCGCUUUAUGUACAGCAGGGUUAGGCUUGAAUUUAAACGAUGAAAUUUCUAAUAUGGCAUUCUAACUAAAUGCAAGAAGUACAUUAUGAAAUAUUAUAACCACUACCUUCUUAACGAUUUUAAAAUACUUGGAACAGAUACAGAUCUAUGACUAAGAGUUUUACACGUUUUACAUGCAUGCAUAAGCUAAGCUUUACGUACAGCAGGAUUAAACUGGUGUUAAAAAUUAUUAAAUUACUAAAUAUAUCGCAUUCUAACUACAUCUAAGAAGCUCGGUGCUCGAUUUUCUGAGCAGAUUUUUGUCGGGAUCACCAGGGCCCAAUUUCAUAGAGCUGCUAAGCACAAAAAUUUGCAUACUAUGAAAUUUUUGCUCUGAUAAAAAAAGAUUGCCAACCAAAUUUUCACAUGAUUUCAGGAUUUAGCAAACAACAGCUGAGUACCAGUAACAACGAUA